rnacentral:rRNA from 1 species
AACGGCUACCACAUCCAAGGAAGGCAGCAGGCGCGCAAAUUACCCAAUCCCGACACGGGGAGGUAGUGACAAUAAAUAACAAUAUAGGGCUCUUUCGGGUCUUAUAAUUGGAAUGAGUACAAUUUAAAUCCCUUAACGAGGAACAAUUGGAGGGCAAGUCUGGUGCCAGCAGCCGCGGUAAUUCCAGCUCCAAUAGCGUAUAUUAAAGUUGUUGCAGUUAAAAAGCUCGUAGUUGAACUUCAGACCUGGCCGGGCGGUCUGCCUAACGGUACGUACUGUCUGGCUGGGCCUUACCUCUUGGUGAGCCGGCAUGCCCUUUACUGGGUGUGUCGGGGAACCAGGACUUUUACCUUGAGAAAAUUAGAGUGUUCAAAGCAGGCCUACGCCCGAAUACAUUAGCAUGGAAUAAUAAAAUAGGACGUGCGGUUCUAUUUUGUUGGUUUCUAGAGUCGCCGUAAUGAUUAAUAGGGAUAGUUGGGGGCAUUAGUAUUCAGUUGCUAGAGGUGAAAUUCUUGGAUUUACUGAAGACUAACUACUGCGAAAGCAUUUGCCAAGGAUGUUUUCAUUAAUCAAGAACGAAGGUUAGGGGAUCGAAAACGAUCAGAUACCGUUGUAGUCUUAACAGUAAACUAUGCCGACUAGGGAUCGGGCGACCUCAAUUUUAUGUGUCGCUCGGCACCUUGCGAGAAAUCAAAGUCUUUGGGCUCUGGGGGGAGUAUGGUCGCAAGGCUGAAA